rnacentral:misc_RNA from 1 species
GUUGGUAUUUUUAACAUGUUCCAAUUCAAUAGAUCUAGCCGGCAGUCGGGAGCAACGUGGGUCAGCGUUCGAACUCUAUAGGAAGCCGCAGCACAUGCACAACUUGAGUUUCUACCACACAAUACACUCGUACUUAAAGAUUGAGGAGAGACGGCGGCGGCCAUGCUGCAUCCACCAGACUGUCAAAUCGUGAAGCGAUGCUGUCCCCGCUGGUGAUGUGCGGGCCGCAAGGGCUGGUGUUCCU